rnacentral:tRNA from 1 species
GGUGAGGUGGCCAAGUGGUUAAAGGGUGGACUGCUAAGCCAUUGUGCUCUACAUGUGUGGGUUUGCAUCCCAUCCUCGUUG